rnacentral:rRNA from 1 species
AGAAGCGCAAGUGACGGUACCUGCAGAAGAAGCGCCGGCUAACUACGUGCCAGCAGCCGCGGUAAUACGUAGGGCGCAAGCGUUGUCCGGAAUUAUUGGGCGUAAAGAGCUCGUAGGCGGUUUGUCGCGUCUGCUGUGAAAACCUAAGGCUCAACCUUGGGCUUGCAGUGGGUACGGGCAGACUAGAGUGCGGUAGGGGUGACUGGAAUUCCUGGUGUAGCGGUGGAAUGCGCAGAUAUCAGGAGGAACACCGAUGGCGAAGGCAGGUCACUGGGCCGCAACUGACGCUGAGGAGCGAAAGCAUGGGGAGCGAACAGGAUUAGAUACCCUGGUAGUCCAUGCCGUAAACGUUGGGCACUAGGUGUGGGGCUCAUUCCACGAGUUCCGUGCCGCAGCAAACGCAUUAAGUGCCCCGCCUGGGGAGUACGGCCGCAAGGCUAAAACUCAAAGAAAUUGACGGGGGCCCGCACAAGCGGCGGAGCAUGCGGAUUAAUUCGAUGCAACGCGAAGAACCUUACCAAGGCUUGACAUACACCGGAAAAGUGCAGAGAUGUGCUCCCCGCAAGGUCGGUGUACAGGUGGUGCAUGGUUGUCGUCAGCUCGUGUCGUGAGAUGUUGGGUUAAGUCCCGCAACGAGCGCAACCCUCGUCCCAUGUUGCCAGCGGGUUAUGCCGGGGACUCAUGGGAGACUGCCGGGGUCAACUCGGAGGAAGGUGGGGAUGACGUCAAAUCAUCAUGCCCCUUAUGUCUUGGGCUUCACGCAUGCUACAAUGGCCGGUACAAAGGGCUGCGAUACCGCGAGGUGGAGCGAAUCCCAAAAAGCCGGUCUCAGUUCGGAUUGGGGUCUGCAACUCGACCCCAUGAAGUCG